CCUACGGGAGGCAGCAGUGAGGAAUAUUGGUCAAUGGCCGGAAGGCUGAACCAGCCAAGCCGCGUGAAGGACGAAGGUGCCAAGCAUUGUAAACUUCUUUUGUCAAGGGACAAAAUCAGGCUCGAGAGCCUGACCGAGGGUACUUGAAGAAAAAGCAUCGGCUAACUCCGUGCCAGCAGCCGCGGUAAUACGGAGGAUGCGAGCGUUAUCCGGAUUUAUUGGGUUUAAAGGGUGCGUAGGCGGACUGUUAAGUCAGCGGUAAAAGCCCGGGGCUCAACCCCGGUGAGCCGUUGAAACUGGCGGUCUUGAGAUGUCGAGAGGUAUGCGGAAUGCGCAGUGUAGCGGUGAAAUGCUUAGAUAUUGCGCAGAACUCCGAUUGCGAAGGCAGCAUACCGGCGGCGAUCUGACGCUGAGGCACGAAAGCGUGGGUAUCGAACAGGAUUAGAUACCCGGGUAGU
rnacentral:rRNA from 1 species